UGUGUCUAUUAUUUAUUUGAGUCUCUCUUACAGUUGUGAGUUUGUGGAGGUUGAUGAUCAUAUUCAACUGCAAAAAACUGAUGCCUGUGGGGAAACAUGUCUGUCUUGCAUGAAAAACAUGUCUGCUCAAAGGAAAAUAGUACCUUGCUUGGAAACAGGUGAAGGUUAACAACAGGAAGGGUGUGUGACCUGGGAAAAUCUUCCUCAAUAAAUUCUGUCUGACCCAAGCAAGCAUGGAAAGUGGACGUUAAAAAGAUGAUGGCAAUGAAGAUGAUGAUGAUGAUGAUCAAAACAAGUAUCGCGUGACUUCUGUUGAAAGCUGUGAUACAUAGUUCUUCAAAUGGUUCACUGGAUGAAGGAAAAUAAACUCUGUUAUCUAGGUGACAAUUAGUUCGUGAGAUGGGAAUUACUGAUAAUAAAGGGUAUUUGGGAUAAAUAUGACAAUUUUUUUUAUGUCUUCCUUUUUUCAGGAACAGCUUGAUGUUGUGGUGAACAGUCAACAAUGUUGGAGAGCAUAAAGAUUAAAGUUGUAAUUGAGAAAAAGUUCGCUAAUGUGGAGGACUGGAAUCUAUUUGAAUAUUGGAAAAGCCUUACUUGUAUCAUGAUGAUUCACAUCUGGUAUCAAAUUGCCAACAUCAUGGCUCAAUGCUCAGUGAACACUAUAAAGACUAUAAGACAUGACAUGGACAAUAUGGAAACCAAGUUCCCCAAAAUCCAAGGUGAAAUACUACUAAGCAUUUCAUCCAGUGCGCUAAAGAU